rnacentral:rRNA from 1 species
GACGAACGCUGGCGGCGUGCUUAAUACAUGCAAGUCAACUUGACUUUAGAUAGCAAUAUCGAAAAGUAGGGUGGCGCACGGGUGCGUAACGCGUAGGUAUCUGCCCUGAGGUCUGACAUAACCCGUCGAAAGGCGGGCUAACAUCAGAUGAUAUAUAAUCACGACAUCGUGGAAAAUAUCAAAUCUUCGGAGCCUUGGGAUGAGCCUGCGUCUGAUUAGGUAGUUGGCGGAGUAAUAGCCCACCAAGCCUACGAUCAGUAGCUGGUCUGAGAGGAUGAUCAGCCACACUGGAACUGAGACACGGUCCAGACUCCUACGGGAGGCAGCAGUAAGGAAUAUUGCUCAAUGGGGGAAACCCUGAAGCAGCAACGCCGCGUGAAGGAUGAAAUACUUUUGUAUGUAAACUUACUGUAAGAUGGGAAAAA